UACCCCUCUUAUCCUAUGGUUUUGUUAAUGUCUCCUUUUUUAAAUAAAAAAAAUUUUAAUUUAAAAAUCACAUGCCAACAUACAUCAGGGUACCAGCCAUAACCUGCCAGCUGUGAAGGUCCCAGGGGACCCCAGUGUUGCCUCUUCCAGGUCUCCUAACUGUACCCGCAGAAUCUAAACAGUUGGUAGGAUGCCAGAUGCUCUCAUUUUUUUUCUCUUUCUUUCUUUUUUUUU